rnacentral:rRNA from 1 species
GACCAGACUCCUACGGGAGGCAGCAGUGGGGAAUAUUGCACAAUGGGGGAAACCCUGAUGCAGCAACGCCGCGUGAAGGAAGACGGUUUUCGGAUUGUAAACUUCUGUUCUUAGUGAAGAAGAAUGACGGUAGCUAAGGAGCAAGCCACGGCUAACUACGUGCCAGCAGCCGCGGUAAUACGUAGGUGACAAGCGUUGUCCGGAUUUACUGGGUGUAAAGGGCGCGUAGGCGGGAUAGCAAGUCAGUCGUGAAAUGCCGAGGCUUAACCUCGGAGCUGCGAUUGAAACUGUUAUUCUUGAGUAUCGGAGAGGAAAGCAGAAUUCCUAGUGUAGCGGUGAAAUGCGUAGAUAUUAGGAGGAACACCAGUGGCGAAGGCGGCUUUCUGGGCGACAACUGACGCUGAGGCGCGAAAGUGUGGGGAGCAAACAGGAUUAGAUACCCUGGUAAUA